UGUAUUUGAAAAAAAAUUGGGGUCUGCUUUCUCUUCUCCUUUUGAUUGGCUAAUUUGGGAGGUGGUGUAGUCCUCUGCCUACCCAUACGUGUCUUGCUUUGAUGCUUUCUCUCUCUCCCAGAUCUUGAAAAUCAAGUCUGAUUUCAAAGUCUUCAAAUGUCCUUUUUUUUUAUUCACAACAUCUGGACACAUAUAGUUAGAGAGAGGGAGAGAGAGCCAGAAGAAAGAUGGCAGUGGCCGACAUGGUGGUGCACGGCGACGACCAUGGCGGCAUGAGGGUGUCUGGCAGUAGCAUCUGCGGCUUGAGGGUGUUUGGCAGUCGCAUGCCACCGGUUGCUCCUUGGCCGUGGGGUGUGCUCCGGUGACCAAGUUCGCCGCCGGCAGUGAUGCCGCCGGUUGCUCCUCCCCCUUCUGCCUCCGUCUCUGGUGAAAACUUGAUUUAGAGAAGGUCAAUCUGAAUGUUGAUUUUUGUGGUUGAAAACUUUGAUUUAGAGAAACUGUGGCGAGUAGUGGGUUACAGAUCUGUACCGACGGUAUAGAGCGUAUGUUGGCUUUGGUGAUGGUGGUUAAUAUGUGUGACAGUGAUGGUGGUUAUGGCGCGUGACGGUGAUGAUGUUGUCAUGGUGUAACGGUGGUGAUGGUCACUGUGGUGAGGGAGCCGCUUCCGCCACCGCCAAACCCUCUUGGUAAAAACCAAUACAGUUUGUAUUCCAUUACUUCUUCAAUCUUGAUGCAAAUACAAAGAGGGUAAAGAUAAAUUUGAACUGGAAAAUGCAAAUCUUGAUUUGGUAGUAACUUUUUUUAUGUUAUUACUGAACUCCAAAAGAAGUGGGGUUCUUGCAUUUGGAUUAUUUGGUCAUUAUUGUGUGCACACAGGCUGUUCAACGAAAUGCAUGUGAGAUUACUAGAAGAAAAAUUCAAAUCUUUCAGUGGGAGAUUUUGUGUCUUUGUAUGUUAUGUUACCGUUAAGAAACAAAGGUCUGUGAACAAAUUGGAUUGUUGGGCUGUGAUGAUGAACACGUAUUUAUGUGAGCCUGCAUUUCAUUUAGGCUCUAAAACUAUGAUAUGCUCGACAUAGAUUUUGGCGACGAUGAUAAAAGUACAAAAUACGGUGUUUUGGCGUGGCAAACGUUAUCCUCAAACUAAUAUUUGCAGCCACAACAGUGCUGUUUUGGCGUGGCAAACGUUAUCCUCAAACUAAUAUUUGCAGCCACAACAUUCGUACUAUUCUGAGCCUAAUUAGCGGUAAAAACAAAUCGUUUAACCAAAUCGUUUAUACACAUGUCGUUUUUCAGUUAUCCUUGGCGAAAUGGCUCCGAUAGCUCUCCGCUUGUCUUAUCCUUGGUCUCCGGUUAGUCGAGACCUAUUAUUUUACAGGGAGAGGCAAGGUUUGCAGACACAAGAGAAAAAAACUGAUUGCAGAGAUCAAGAAGAGCGCCAAACAAGGCCAAAUGUGAGCUGUUAAGGUGAUGGCAAAAGAUCUCAUUAGAACACGACAUCAGAUCGAGAAGUUUUACAAGCUUAAGUUCCAACUGCAGGGUGUUUCAUAUGUCACACCCCAACCGAU